rnacentral:ncRNA from 1 species
GAAGACAUCUUCAACAUCACCUAUAAUCUCAGUCGCCCCAAACUGCGCCCCCUUUUCAGAACCUGCGGUGCUGCGUAAUUGACUUCUGCUGCCUGCCGUUCCUGCUAUCGGUGCUGCAGCUUCUUUUUCUUCUGUUGCUGCAGCCUCUGCAUCCUUCGAUACAAUAUGCGCCGCAUUCGACGGAACAUCCUUCACCGCCAAUGCGAUGUGCAAGAAACCCAGGUGGGCAGCAACAGCAGCAGCGCCACCAGCAAAAUGCAGCAGCAACAGUGCUGUUCCCCCAUGGCUGUUUUCUAUACAUUGGGGCAUCAACUGACGCCCCUGCCUAACCUUCCUCAUCUGCAUUCAUGAAAACUAAACUUAGCUACUGCAAUUUCAGUCGCCCGAGACAAAAAGUUCAAGCACACAUUUGUAGAAAGCGUCUUGUAAAAGAUAGUAUAUAUACACAGGCAAAUUGGUUCCAAUGGAUUCGCAUGCUAGUGGAAAUACACAUGGACACGAUCGCCUGAAGAAAUUCGACACGCGUUAGGUAGGGCUCUGCUCUUUUCGCUAUCAGAUUACCGCUCUGGCUUACAAUGCGAAUAUGUCAUCAUGCCGUCAAUGUUGCUUCCCUCAAAAGGUUCAUAUAACCCCCGAACGUUCCCCAAAUGCUCACCACAAGACGUAAACAACGUUACAACGAGAAAGAGAAUUUGAAGGAGAUUGAGUAUCGGCCUGCAGGGGCCGGAACAAACGUAAGUUUCACAUUGAAUGGGUAGUUACGUACAGCUAGUUCUUCCAUGCUACGUAAGCCGGUGAAAUACCUCGGAAAUAUUGUUCGUCCAAAGCUUUGAAGCAACUUUCAGAAUGGCACAUCGCGAACACGGUCAGCAGGUGCUUGUAGGUUUAGCAGUGUCUCAGGUGCUAGUCCAAGACAGCAAAAAUGCACUUCGCAUCGAAGUCCUGUCAGGCAAGAACGCCUGAACUCAGGACCUCGAUAGUCCCCGUCGCUGCUUUGCCAGUGGGUCGAAGCUUUUGGGCUCGGUGCACUGAAAUAUCCGCAGUUCCUUGGUUUCCCCGGUGCUCACCCGCCUCCUUGAGCUUCACCACAGGAAUACCCUCUUUGUGGAGCUUAAUUUACUGGGUUCGAUAAUGCCUACCUUUCAUCCCGAGUUAGCACAUGUGGAUUUGUUGGCCCGUAGCGAAGUCCACUAAAAAAACGCCUUUUACCACUUGAUGGAUUGUGCUGACACGUGUACAAACACUGGCAACAGGCCUCGACUCAUCUGCAUGUGCCAUAUGGUAUAGUCUUCACUGUUGGAUUCCCUUCCGUUGUACAUAGGUCGUGGCCUUCAUUGCAUGCCACCAUUCUCUGGAACUGCGGCUCAAUGGCAAGACCGUGACAUGCCCCCGAUCAGGCAGCCUCGCUUGACUCCCUCCAACACUGUAUCAUUUCGUUUAUUUUUUUCCGUUCAUUUCUCCUUUGUCGAGGUGCAGAAGCUGGUUCCUUCACAGAGGUUCACAGAUGUCCUUUUAGGCCCCCGUGAACAUGUUUCAGGAGUCGUUGAGAGUUCAAGACAGCGUGUGUGAGCUCGUGCUGAAUUGACCCAUAUGCGUUUUCUCUAAGUUGUAGUACGUCAUGCAGAGUGGCUUAUUGCUUUUGAAUAGAGCUGAUAUGCUUCGUCUUCGCUUUGCUGUCCAUGCAUUGAAAACAUGAGCGAGGGUUCCAGUAGGGGCCGGGACCAAGGCAGCCAAAUUUCUUGGCAUCUAGCUAAUGACGUGCAUGAAUGGAUAAACGCGAUUCCCACUGCCCCUAUCUGCUACCUAGCGAAACCACAGCCAAGGGAACGGGCUUGGUGGAGUAAGCAAGCAAAGAAGACACUGCUGUGCUUGACUCUAGUUCGACUUGGUGAAACGACUUGGGGGGUAUAGGAGGGAUAGGAUAUUAUGCGACAAGAAAUACAACCACAUGCAGUGUCAUUUUAUUUAUUCCGCAAAGUUGAGAAGCAUGUAACUCAUCUGUGUAGCCCUUAAGGCGUCCCUCAGAGUGCUGGUCAAUGCGAAAGCAACAGUCAGGUGUUGAGUUUGGCUGGCUGCUGCAUCAAUGAAACAGUAAUGCAGGUGUCGUAAGGAAAGCUCGUUGAUGACCGAAAUCUCCUGUUGACCAAAAGGGGGAACGAUAGGUUGAUUGUGAUGUUCAGCAAGGACGUAAAUUGCGAAAUCAUGGCCUGUCGAUCAUUUUGCUCUGUGUAACCUUCACGUACAGCCGUCAGAGAGGUUACUACAGGCAAAAGUGGCAUGUGGGGCCGUUCAGAGCAACGGUGUUUGUGGCGCUUUGAUGUCGACUCUUCCUGUUACUGAGGGGCAGACGUCUCAAAAUGCUGGUUUGUUCAUCCUGAUAUAUUGUGACUGAAGGCACCGAUGCCAGAUUCCACGGUUGCUACGUAGUGUUUCCCAUCGCUUCACCGGUUACUUGCGUGUGCACGUAGUACUUCGCGCACAACCACUGAGCAAGGCCAUUUUUGAUGUUUCUAGUCAUUUUAUUGCUGUUAAGACUGUAUGGGCGUUAGUUGAAGGGCGAGCAUGUCAGGCGCUAGGCAGCAACCGCAAUUCGCCACAUGUAGAGUGCUGCAUCUACUGCAGACAAUUUGGGUUUCAGUAGGUAGUGUAAGUCUGGGGGUAGGCUAGUCUGACAACCCACUAAUAUUUGGUCAGCAUUAAACGAUGUUU